rnacentral:tRNA from 1 species
GGAUGUGGCUCAAGCAGUAGCACGCUCGUCUGGCGUGUGUGCGGCCUGGGUUCGAUCCCCAGCACCA